AGUGAACGCUGGCGGUAGGCCUAACACAUGCAAGUCGAACGGCAGCACAGGAGAGCUUGCUCUCUGGGUGGCGAGUGGCGGACGGGUGAGGAAUACAUCGGAAUCUACCUUUUCGUGGGGGAUAACGUAGGGAAACUUACGCUAAUACCGCAUACGACCUACGGGUGAAAGUGGGGGACCGCAAGGCCUCACGCGAUUAGAUGAGCCGAUGUCCGAUUAGCUAGUUGGCGGGGUAAUGGCCCACCAAGGCGACGACCGGUAGCUGGUCUGGGAGGAUGAUCAGCCAAACUGGAACUGGGACACGGUCCAGACUCCUACGGGAGGCGGCAGUGGGGAAUAUUGGACAAUGGGCGCAAGCCUGAUCCAGCCAUACCGCGUGGGUGAAGAAGGCCUUCGGGUUGUAAAGCCCUUUUGUUGGGAAAGAAAUCCUGUCGAUUAAUACUCGGUGGGGAUGACGGUACCCAAAGAAUAAGCACCGGCUAACUUCGUGCCAGCAGCCGCGGUAAAAC
rnacentral:rRNA from 1 species